rnacentral:rRNA from 1 species
GGGGGGGCUUAUACAUGCAAGUCGAGCGGACAGAUGGGAGCUUGCUCCCUGAUGUUAGCGGCGGACGGGUGAGUAACACGUGGGUAACCUGCCUGUAAGACUGGGAUAACUCCGGGAAACCGGGGCUAAUACCGGAUGGUUGUUUGAACCGCAUGGUUCAGACAUAAAAGGUGGCUUCGGCUACCACUUACAGAUGGACCCGCGGCGCAUUAGCUAGUUGGUGAGGUAACGGCUCACCAAGGCGACGAUGCGUAGCCGACCUGAGAGGGUGAUCGGCCACACUGGGACUGAGACACGGCCCAGACUCCUACGGGAGGCAGCAGUAGGGAAUCUUCCGCAAUGGACGAAAGUCUGACGGAUCAUCGCCGCGUGAGUGAUGAAUGUUUUCGGAUC